CGGACAGUGCCUGGUGGGUAGUUUGACUGGGGCGGUCUCCUCCCAAAGAGUAACGGAGGAGCACGAAGGUGGGCUAAUCACGGUUGGACAUCGUGAGGUUAGUGCAAUGGCAUAAGCCCGCUUGACUGCGAGAAUGACAAUUCGAGCAGGUGCGAAAGCAGGUCAUAGUGAUCCGGUGGUUCUGAAUGGAAGGGCCAUCGCUCAACGGAUAAAAGGUACUCCGGGGAUAACAGGCUGAUACCGCCCAAGAGUUCAUAUCGACGGCGGUGUUUGGCACCUCGAUGUCGGCUCAUCACAUCCUGGGGCUGAAGUCGGUCCCAAGGGUAUGGCUGUUCGCCAUUUAAAGUGGUACGCGAGCUGGGUUUAGAACGUCGUGAGACAGUUCGGUCCCUAUCUGCCGUGGGCGUUGGAAGAUUGAAGGGGGCUGCUCCUAGUACGAGAGGACCGGAGUGGACGAACCUCUGGUGUUCGGGUUGUGUCGCCAGACGCAUUGCCCGGUAGCUAAGUUCGGAAUCGAUAACCGCUGAAAGCAUCUAAGCGGGAAGCGAGCCCUGAGAUGAGUCUUCCCUGAUACUUUAAGUAUCCUAAAGGGUUGUCGGAGACUACGACGUUGAUAGGUCAGGUGUGUAAGUGCUGUGAGGCAUUGAGCUAACUGAUACUAAUUGCCCGUGAGGCUUAACCAU
rnacentral:rRNA from 1 species